rnacentral:rRNA from 1 species
GAUGAACGCUGGCGGCGUGCUUAAUACAUGCAAGUCGAGCGAACAGAUGAGGAUCUUGCUCCUCUGACGUUAGCGGCGGACGGGUGAGUAACACGUGGAUAACCUCCCUAUAUGACUGGGAUAACUUCGGGAAACCGGAGCUAAUACCGGAUAAUAUCUUGAACCGCAUGGUUCAAUAGUGAAAUUCGGUUUUGCUGUCACUUAUAGAUGUAUCCGCGCCGCAUUAGCUAGUUGGUAAGGUAACGGCUUACCAAGGCAACGAUGCGUAGCCGACGUGAGAGGGUGGUCGGCCGCACUGGAGGGGAGACACGGUCAAGACUCCUACGGGAGGCAGCAGUAGGGAAUCUUCGGCAGUGGGGGAGAGCCUGACAGAGCAAGGCCGCGGAAGAGGUGAAGACCUCCGGAGCGUAAAGCUCUGUUAUUGGGGAAGAACAAAUGUGUAAGUAGAUAUGCACGUCGUGACGGUACCUGAUCAAGAAGCCACGGCUAACUACGUG